rnacentral:rRNA from 1 species
AAAUAGCUUCUGCACUAUUUGUAGCCGCAAUUCAACAUCGAGGUCGCAAACAAUUAUUUUAAUAAGGGCUUAAAUAAUUAUAACGCUGUUAUCCCUAGAGUACCUUAUUCGUCUAAUUUAAUAAAGAUCAUUGUUAAUAUAAAUAGUCCUAUUUAAAUUUACCCCAAAUAAACUUGUGUACAAUUAUUACUUCAUUAAUUAAGUAAAGGUUCAUAGGGCUUCUCGUCA